rnacentral:lncRNA from 1 species
UAAAAUCUGGUUAAAAACUUAUGGUGUAACUUUUAUGUUGGCAAGAAUCUCUUCAAACACCGACAUAAUCUCACAAUACACUUCACAUCAAUGCCCAUGUGUUAAUCCACUAGCAAUAAAUCUUUCUUUUCCAUGAUAGAAAAAAUGUCAUAAGGAUAAUUUUUUCAAUUUUAAAAAAAGAUCAUCAUCUUUCAUAAGAGGGAAACAUUGCUAGCAUUUGACUCAUAGCUCUUAUAUAACGCUGACCCAUCAGGACAAUUAUACUUUAC